CCGCAGUCAUUCACGAGGCUAAAAGGCUGGGGAAGUUUAUUCCAAAACAAUAAACUCAAGGGAAAAUAAAUCAUUGGGCCCAAUUUUGCAUAAAUCUGGCCCAAAUUCACUUAAGCCCAUUAGUAACAACACCUUCCAAUCUAUUUAAUGGAUAAAAUUGACUUGCAUCAAUUAUGCAAAAGAUACCCCAUUCAGCCGUAAAUAUCUGUUCCUUUAGCAACAAAAUUGCUGGCUUGAACCAUUUGAUUAGAGUUGCACUACAUGUAGAAAGAAUUUUGACACACAACCUACAAAUCACACAUAACAUAUGGUAUGGGUGGAUAUAUUUUUUCAAUAUAAAACUCACAUGGGGUGAGUUUUCUGGAUUUAAUCUGUAGAAAUUUUCCAUUUGAAUAAGCUACUAUCAAGACCUGUCUCCAUCACCAUAAAUGUGGACUAAAAAUCAGAAGAGCACUGUACUCCCCUACGUAUAUUGCAAGGUGCCGACUACCGGAGGUGGCUGCCGAAAGUAGGCUUUUAGCCAAUUUCCAAGAGCUGUGGCUGGAGACAAUGGACAAAAGUCGAAACCGGACAUUUUCGUUCCUUGUGGUGUCGACGGUUGCUCUAACGGUGGCUAACAAAGGAUGCUUUAUGCCUCGUGGUUAAUCCAUCAUUAAUUUGGGCAUUUCUUCAAGCCUUUGGUGGAUAAUCAUGAAAGGGAGAUUUGCAGCAGAUUUUUGAUUUUCAAGAAACCUUCCCAUACUCUUAUCUUUUCUACUAUCUUUUUGUUGCUUUCGACAAAAAAAUGUUGUCAUGGCGAUAGCAAAUAUAAUGAUGUAGUGUUGCUUGGUUGCUCAAAUUAGUUGUCUGGACAUGAUAGCAGCUACCUGUAGCAACGACGUGGAGGCUCGGCUGUUUGCUUCUGAAAAAUGAAGACUCUAGUCCACUGUUCUUCUUCUUAGCAAUGGAGUUUUAAUCUAGGAUUUGGCUGCCUCUUGAUUUUUCCUUUUUCUUGUUGCUGGAUUUGUCUUUCACUUGAUGUUGAAUUUGCUCCAAAGAAUGUGUGGACAUGGCAGAACGUGGAGAGAAAAACAUAGCCCUUUUGUGGUCAAACCUUUGGUGGAUAUUUGUUCGAUCUAUCUCAAUUUUUCUUGAAUCUAAAUUUCUGCAUUUGUCCAAGAUCAAAGAGGGUAGUCUUUCUUUUUUCAGAUUUUUAUUUGCUUGUGUAACCAUUUCCAUGACCAAUCAUCAUUGGAAAAUUUCAC
rnacentral:lncRNA from 1 species